GAUAUCUCGGCUCUCGCAUCGAUGAAGAACGUAGCGAAAUGCGAUACCUGGUGUGAAUUGCAGAAUCCCGCGAACCAUCGAGUCUUUGAACGCAAGUUGCGCCCGAGGCCACUCGGCCGAGGGCACGCCUGCCUGGGCGUGC
rnacentral:rRNA from 1 species